GGAAUAUUGGACAAUGGGCGCAAGCCUGAUCCAGCCAUGCCGCGUGUGUGAAGAAGGCCUUCGGGUUGUAAAGCACUUUCAGCAGAGAAGAAAAGCUCGGGGCUAAUAUCCCCGGGUCUUGACGUAACCUGCAGAAGAAGCACCGGCUAACUCCGUGCCAGCAGCCGCGGUAAUACGGAGGGUUCGAGCGUUAAUCGGAAUUACUGGGCGUAAAGCGCACGUAGGCGGCUUCCUAAGUCGGAUGUGAAAGCCCUGGGCUUAACCUGGGAAUUGCAUCCGAUACUGGGUGACUAGAGUACGGGAGAGGGAAGUGGAAUUUCCGGUGUAGCGGUGAAAUGCGUAGAUAUCGGAAGGAACACCAGUGGCGAAGGCGACUUCCUGGCCCAGUACUGACGCUGAGGUGCGAAAGCGUGGGGAGCAAAC
rnacentral:rRNA from 1 species